rnacentral:rRNA from 1 species
UACGGAGGGUGCGAGCGUUGUCCGGAAUCACUGGGCGUAAAGGGCGCGUAGGUGGCCACUUCAAGCGUGCGGUGAAAGUCGGGGGCUCACCCCCUGAUCGGCCGUGCGAACUGGGGGGCUGGAGCACUGUAGAGGCAGGCGGAAUUCCGGGUGUAGCGGUGGAAUGCGUAGAGAUCCGGAAGAACACCGGUGGCGAAGGCGGCCUGCUGGGCAGUUUUGCUGACACUGAGGCGCGACAGCGUGGGGAGCAAACAGG